UGGGGAAUUAUGGACAAUGGGCGCAAGCCUGAUCCAGCAAUGCCGCGUGCAGGAUGAAGGCCUUCGGGUUGUAAACCGCUUUUGUCAGGGAAGAAACGAGUUUCUCUAAUACAGAGACUUAAUGACGGUACCUGAAGAAUAAGCACCGGCUAACUACGUGCCAGCAGCCGCGGUAAUACGUAGGGUGCGAGCGUUAAUCGGAAUUACUGGGCGUAAAGCGUGCGCAGGCGGUUAUAUAAGACAGAUGUGAAAUCCCCGGGCUCAACCUGGGAACUGCCUUUGUGACUGCAUAGCUAGAGUACGGUAGAGGGGGAUGGAAUUCCGCGUGUAGCAGUGAAAUGCGUAGAUAUGCGGAGGAACACCGAUGGCGAAGGCAAUCCCCUGGACCUGUACUGACGCUCAUGCACGAAAGCGUGGGGAGCAAACA
rnacentral:rRNA from 1 species